rnacentral:rRNA from 1 species
AUUGAACGCUGGCGGCAGGCCUAACACAUGCAAGUCGAGCGAGCGGCGGACUGGUGAGUAAUGUAUUGGGAUCUGCCUGAUCGAGGGGGAUAACUACUGGAAACGGUGGCUAAUACCGCAUACUCUCGUCUGCACCCCUAUGGGAUUAGCUAGUCGGUGGGGUAAAGGCUCACCUAGGCGACGAGCCCUAGCUGGUCUGAGAGGAUGAUCAGCCACACUGGGACUGAGACACGGCCCAGACGCCUACGGGAGGCAGCAGAGGGGAAUAUUGCACAAUGGGCGCAAGCCUGAUGCAGCCAUGCCGCGUGUAUGAAGAAGGCCUUAGGGUGGUAAAGGACUGUCAGCGGGGAGGCGUUACCCGCAGAAGAAGCACCGGCUAACUCCGUGCCAGCAGCCGCGGUAAUAC